rnacentral:rRNA from 1 species
AGAUUGAACGCUGGCGGCAUGCUUUACACAUGCAAGUCGAACGGCAGCACGGGUGCUUGCAUCNGGUGGCGAGUGGCGGACGGGUGAGUAAUACAUCGGAACGUGUCCYGAAGUGGGGGAUAACGCAUCGAAAGAUGUGCUAAUACCGCAUAUACUCUGAGGAGUAAAGUAGGGGAUCGAAAGACCUUAUGCUUUUGGAGCGGCCGAUGUCUGAUUAGCUAGUUGGUGGGGUAAUGGCCUACCAAGGCGACGAUCAGUAGUUGGUCUGAGAGGACGACCAGCCACACUGGGACUGAGACACGGCCCAGACUCCUACGGGAGGCAGCAGUGGGGAAUUUUGGACAAUGGGCGCAAGCCUGAUCCAGCAAUGCCGCGUGAGUUAAGAAGGCCUUCGGGUUGUAAAGCUCUUUCAGUUGAGAAGAAAAGACUGUAACUAAUAAUUACAGUUCAUGACGGUAUCAACAGAAGAAGCACCGGCUACCUACGUGCCAGCAGCCGCGGUAAUACGUAGGGUGCGAGCGUUAAUCGGGAUUACUGGGC